CGGGACUGACGGGGCUCGAACCCGCAGCUUCCGCCU
rnacentral:tRNA from 1 species